GGUUCAGAAUCAACGCUGGCGGCGUGCAUAACACAUGCAAGUCGAACGAGAAAGCGGGGGCAACUCCGUUAGUAAAGUGGCAGACGGGUGAGUAACACGUGAACAACCUACCCUCGAGUGGGGAAUAACCCCGCGAAAGCGGGGCUAAUACCUCAUAACAUCUUCGGUUCGCAUGAACCGAAGAUCAAAGGCUCCGGCCGCUCGGAGAGGGGUUCGCGCCUGAUUAGCUAGUUGGUGAGGUAACGGCCCACCAAGGCAACGAUCAGUAGCCGGCCUGAGAGGGCGUACGGCCACACUGGAACUGAGACACGGUCCAGACUCCUACGGGAGGCAGCAGUGGGGAAUUUUGCGCAAUGGGCGAAAGCCUGACGCAGCAACGCCGCGUGGAGGAUGAAGGCCUUCGGGUCGUAAACUCCUGUCAGUAGGGACGAAUGCCUCGAAAGAGGUUUGACUGUACCUGCUGAGGAAGCCACGGCUAACUCCGUGCCAGCCGCAGC
rnacentral:rRNA from 1 species